CCUACGGGAGGCAGCAGUGGGGAAUUUUCCGCAAUGGGCGAAAGCCUGACGGAGCAACGCCGCGUGAGGGAUGAAGGCCUCUGGGCUGUAAACCUCUUUUAUCAAGGAAGAAGAUCUGACGGUACUUGAUGAAUAAGCCACGGCUAAUUCCGUGCCAGCAGCCGCGGUAAUACGGGAGUGGCAAGCGUUAUCCGGAAUUAUUGGGCGUAAAGCGUCCGCAGGCGGUCUUGUAAGUCUGUCGUUAAAGCGUGGAGCUCAACUCCAUUUCGGCGGUGGAAACUACAAGACUAGAGUGUGGUAGGGGCAGAGGGAAUUCCCGGUGUAGCGGUGAAAUGCGUAGAUAUCGGGAAGAACACCAGUGGCGAAGGCGCUCUGCUGGGCCAUAACUGACGCUCAUGGACGAAAGCUAGGGGAGCGAAAGGGAUUAGAUACCCCUGUAGUCCUAGCCGUAAACGAUGAACACUAGGUGUCGGGGGAAUCGACCCCCUCGGUGUCGUAGCUAACGCGUUAAGUGUUCCGCCUGGGGAGUACGCACGCAAGUGUGAACUUAAAGGAAUUGACGG
rnacentral:rRNA from 1 species